rnacentral:rRNA from 1 species
AAAACUAAUUAUGUAUGGAGAAAUAAAAAAUCUCUCAUUUCCGACAUGAAUAUAUUUUUCUUGUUCGAAAUAAAGGUUCUUGUCUUGUCGGGAAUGAUGCACAAAUUUUUUAAAUCUGGUACCAACAUGUAUAAUCCCCCCAGAACUAAGUUUUCUUUCAAGCCUUUCAACCAAUCAAUGCGACCUCGUAGGGCAACUUUUGCUAAUGGAACACUUUGUUUUUGUCACUCUAGCUUUUGCCAACUUUGCUUAUGCCACUCUAGAAUUUCAUCUUUCACUUUUGCCACUCUUAGCUUUCGAUAA